rnacentral:snRNA from 1 species
GUGUACACUUUGGCAGCACAUUUACUAAAAUUGGAAAGAUACAGAGAAGAUUAGCAUGACACCUGCAAAAGGAUGACAUAAGAGCAUGUCAAGAAUCAGCAAUACCC